CGAUGACUGGGGUGAAGUCGUAACAAGGUUUCCGUAGGUGAACCUGCAGAGGGAUCA
rnacentral:rRNA from 1 species